rnacentral:rRNA from 1 species
AUGGAUGGGCAUGGCGGACAGAACAUGUCACACAAGGGCAAGCCGUUCACCUUAGGAAAGAAGAGAAGCCUUCCAAGUGGGAGGGCACCUGGCCAUUCUCUCAACAAACAGCAUCAGUGUCGAGACUGGAACUUUCCUCACCGAAAGAGGCAAGCCGAGGUAGGAGAUCGAGAAUGGAACGACAGGGCAAGACUGGAUGGUUCUCGCGCAAUCCUCGGGUGUGUAGCAGAUCGGAGUGACAUAGCUUUUUCGAAGUUGGUGGACAUGCCAGAGGCCGUAGCGAAGCAUUGUAGAAUCGGGCACACCGCCAACAUGCCAGACUCAGAUGGGUGGCAAAAAAAUCAAAAUUCGUCUGUGAAAAGUGUGAUGCUGGAAGAAGCAGGUCUUCUCGUGAGCCUCUGUAGCACACCGCACCGAACCACCUAUUGCACCAUGGAGUUGAGUGUGUCAAUGACGAGGGAAAAUAGCAAGGGUGAGAGGGGGCACCCUGGCAUAGGCCACAUGUUAUCUAGGGGGGGUCUAGCAUUGCCAUUUAUGAGCACGCGAGUGGAGGAGGUGGACAGAAGAUUUGAUACCCAUGCUCGCCAACACUUGCCAAAACCAAGGUGUCGCGGGGCCUCGAGGAGGAAGGGCUAG